GGGACGGGAACCCUGGUUUGAGUUGUCCUUGAUGUUUACUACUCAGACCAGAAUAUCUGACUCCAGUUUCUCAAGAUUACAGGCUUGUGAAGUACACAACAAAGGCUCACUUCCUUUCAUUGCUUCCAGAGCCGCCCUCCUCCAAAUUCAAAACGGUUUCCAGAUUGGAAGGAAUUCUGCUACCAGUGCACCAAACAGACAUCAGCCAGUCUUGGGAACAACAAGUACAGAAGGUGACCAACGGUGACUUAAAACAAUUCUAAAGUGCCGUUAUGACAAGCAGUAUUCCCCAAGACAGAUAUAAGGCUGUUUGGCUCAUCUUUUUUAUACUUGGUCUUGGGACGCUCUUGCCAUGGAAUUUUUUCAUGACAGCUUCAGAGGUAAGUUAAGAGUGUAUGUGCAUAAUUCCAGACCAAGGAAUUGCCCAUACCACUGAUUCUAGAUUGUAUGGUUUCACUAAGAUUAUA
rnacentral:lncRNA from 1 species